rnacentral:tRNA from 1 species
UGCAUCGGCCGGGAAUCGAACCCGGGCUGCCCGCGUGGCAGGCGAGCAUUUUACCACUGAACCAUCGAUGC